AUGAUGAAAAAAGGUGUACAAUUUGGUAGAGAUGCCAUUUUCCCUGAAUAUUUAUUUGAAUACACAAAAGAUACUGAGGGCAACUGUCUGAAGGACUCUGCAUCAGGCCAGGUGAGAGCAGAGAGGAUGGAGGGUAGGUGUGGUGGGUCAGACAGAACCAAGGACAGCUAUCCCAAGGAUGCAUCUGAACAGUUAGACUCCCACAUGCAAUCCUACUAUGGGCAGAGACUUGAGGGGCAGAUAGUGAAUUUUAUGUCCUUUCCGGUUAUGAGAACUCUACUUCUAAUAGUGGAGAAAACUGAAAUCAGAAGUUUUUAAAUUCUGACUUUGCAGGCCCAUCCUAAAAUUGAUUCUCCACAAGUUUGUAUUUCUAUGGCUCCUCUUAGCCCCAGACUCAAAGGGGCCCUUAUUAUUUGUGAGCAGAAGAGAAGAAAGAUCUGGAAGGUCAAACUCAUGUGGCAAGCAAGAGCUGGAUUCCAUCUGUCUUUGUCACCACGACGCUGUCCUUUCACCCCAAGCCUGGGCAGCUUUGUGUUCCCUGGCACACCUCAUCUCCACAGAGUGAGGAUUCCAGACUCAUUGUGAUCCCCAAGCAAAGGACAAUCUUCAAGACUCUUUGGCUACAGUGUGAGAAGUCUCCUCAGAAGACAGGAACAAUAACAGAAGACGAAAGAGCCUCAAGUACCCAGAUUUGGGCUGAAGCAGGAAUCAGUGGUACUGGUCCUGUCCUAGACACCCUGAAGCUUGCUGGAAGCCACAGGAUGGAGCAAAG